rnacentral:rRNA from 1 species
AUGUCUGGGAAACUGCCUGAUGGAGGGGGAUAACUACUGGAAACGGUAGCUAAUACCGCAUAACGUCGCAAGACCAAAGAGGGGGACCUUCGGGCCUCUUGCCAUCGGAUGUGCCCAGAUGGGAUUAGCUAGUAGGUGGGGUAACGGCUCACCUAGGCGACGAUCCCUAGCUGGUCUGAGAGGAUGACCAGCCACACUGGAACUGAGACACGGUCCAGACUCCUACGGGAGGCAGCAGUGGGGAAUAUUGCACAAUGGGCGCAAGCCUGAUGCAGCCAUGCCGCGUGUAUGAAGAAGGCCUUCGGGUUGUAAAGUACUUUCAGCGGGGAGGAAGGGAGUAAAGUUAAUACCUUUGCUCAUUGACGUUACCCGCAGAAGAAGCACCGGCUAACUCCGUGCCAGCAGCCGCGGUAAUACGGAGGGUGCAAGCGUUAAUCGGAAUUACUGGGCGUAAAGCGCACGCAGGCGGUUUGUUAAGUCAGAUGUGAAAUCCCCGGGCUCAACCUGGGAACUGCAUCUGAUACUGGCAAGCUUGAGUC